GGAUCAGUGGGUCGGUCGUGCCACUGGUAUGUACUGGCCCUACUGGUUCCUCCUUCUUGAGGAACUGUGAUGCCAUUAAUUUGGUGUUGCAGGGAAACGAGGACUGUUACUUUGAAAAAAUUAGAGUGUUUAAAGCAGGCAAUCGCUUGAAUACAUUAGCAUGGAAUAAUGAAAUAGGACGUUCGACCCUAUUUUGUUGGUUUCUAGGAUUGACGUAAUGAUUAAUAGGGAUAGU
rnacentral:rRNA from 1 species